AUUUUCUAACACCCUACACUUCCUAAAAUACAUCCCGUAUGUGAAAACCGAGCCCGAAAUACAAUAUAUUAUUAAAAAUAAUUAAAAAAACAAGAAAAUAUAAGUUUAGGCGGGCCGCGACAACCCCCACCCUUAGUUUACGCGGGCGGUUUAAAGGUUAAACCUGAUUCCUUUGAGUUUUUAAGUUCAAAUGGGUCGCGUAAAGAUUCUCGAUUAGUUAACGCGGGCCGCGAGAGGUUCAAAAGGUGGCGCAGCCCGGUGCGGCCACGUGGCCCAACACCCGGCCAACCUAGUCAAUGACUCAGCCCAGCUACACGUUGACCUGGGGUCAACGCGGGCGACGUAAGCCCUGUCUUUGUUUUACGCGGGGCGCGACAAGGUCAAGAUCAGGCACUAUAUAUAGAAUGCAUUGGAUCUUCAUUCGAAUUCGUUCAAAAUCGAUUUCCUUUCUCUCAAUUCUGAAUAGUAGAAAUAAUACUCGGGUAUAAUACCCCCCUAAUUAGCGAAGCUCUGCCUCGUUAUUAUAACCAGGAAGUCCCAAAGGAAAGCCCUUUAAUGGCAAUGUAACACAAUGUGAAAGCCAAUUAGAAUAAAGCCAGCUCGAGAGCACUGACGGCUUGGAAAAAUGUGGCUAUAAAAGUUACCUAGAAGACGAUGUUUUAAAUUCAAUAAAAUAAGGGUUAUCCCUAUAAACAUGUUGUAACAA